rnacentral:lncRNA from 1 species
AAGGAGAUGCAGAAAUUACUGAGUACCAGAAAGGUUACAAAAGCUGAUGAUUCACACCCACGUUAUGUGCUUCAAAAUUUGCCAACAAAGAAAAAAUCCCCAGCCAGACUGCCCAAGAAAAUUAUUAAGCCAGCACUCCUCUAUAGCAAAUUGCAAAUAUCAUAAAUGCUUCUCACUUUGUUGCUGGCAAAACAUGAAGCAACUAAGACAAAGCAAAGCCAGCACCUCAAUUGGCAGUAUGAUGGCCCUCUCAAAUUAUGUGAGUCUGCAAAGGGAAAUAUGCAAAGCCUUAGAAAUUUCAAUCAAAUUCGAAAGAAAAGAAUGCACAAAGCAUCAGCAAGCAAAAAAAAAACCAGCAAAAGAAAAAAUGUCUCACUAAGAAGCCUUCUGUGUAGCGGCUGUUGAAGAACCCAAAAGCAACAUAAGCCAAGAACAAAGAAAGCCUUCCUGUCAAGUCAAUACAAAACCAAAGAUGAGUAUUUUUUUUAAUUAUCCGAAGGACUCUAAACACAUAAUGGGUAAAGAC